CAGCAACACACCCUGGGAGGUAGGCUAACUAUCAAAAGUUACCAGAAGCCUGUGGUCGUUUUCACACCAAACACUAACAGCAGGAGGAGCUGGGAGUCCUGUUUACACUGAUUGGAGACAUCUCUGAGGAACAAUGAACUGGUUGUAAUGGAAACCCUGCCGGAGGGAAUCAGGGCAGACCUGUUGAAGGGGGGAGUUACUGACACCAACUCACAUGUCCAUGAUCUGUUUCAUGAAGAUGCACAGGGCUUGCAGCUGUCCAGCCAGCCCUGGUGGAGGAUCAAGCUGUUUGUGUGGGAGCCGGUGCUCUUCGGUACCUGGGAUGGAGUAUUUACCACCUGCAUGAUCAACAUCUUUGGUGUGGUGCUAUUCCUACGUACCGGCUUCCUUGUGGGGAACACAGGCGUGAUGCUCGGGAUGUUCCUGGUCUCCUUGGUCGUGCUGUUUGCCUUAGUGACGGUGAUGUCGGGGAUCGGAGUGUGUGAGCACUGCGGUGUUGGCGGUGGAGGAGUGUACUCCAUGAUCUCCACCGUCCUGGGUGGCCGGGUCGGGGGCACAGUGGGCCUCCUUUACGUCUUUGGACAGUGCGUAGCUGGAGCCAUGUACAUCACAGGUUUCUCCGAGUCAGUGGCGGAGCUGCUGGGUCUGCAGAGUCAGUGGGCAGUGCGCGGCAUGUCAGCGGUAGUGCUGCUGGCACUGCUGGGAAUCAACCUGGCCGGUGUCAAGUGGAUCGUUCGCCUCCAGCUGCUGCUGCUGGCCGUGCUGGCCGUCUCCACACUGGACUUUGUGAUCGGCACCUUCACGCACCUUGACCCAGAACAUGGUUUCGUUGGUUAUUCACCCUGGCUGCUCAGCAGCAACACACUGCCAGACUACACCUCAGGAGAAAGCUUCUUCACCGUGUUUGGGGUCUUCUUCCCUGCUGCUACAGGGGUCAUGGCAGGUUUCAACAUGAGCUCAGACCUUCAGCGUCCUGAACACAACAUCCCUGUGGGAACACUGGCAGCUGUCUUCACCUCGUGGUUCCUGUAUCUGGUCUUUGUCUUCCUUCUGGGGGCCAUCUGCACCAGAGAAGCUCUGCGCUAUGACUUCUUGAUAGCAGAAAAGGUCUCCUUGGUGGGCUUCCUCUUUCUGCUGGGCCUCUACAUCUCCUCCCUGGCUUCCUGCAUGGGCGGCCUGUACGCAGCACCCAGGAUCCUCCAGUGCAUCGCCCAGGAGAGGGUCAUCCCCGCUCUGGCCUUCCUGGGAAGAGGGAAAGGCCCUAACAGGACUCCCGUGGCUGGUAUCUGUCUGACCAGUCUGCUCACCAUGGCCUUCAUUUUCAUCGGUCAGGUCAACGUGCUGGCUCCGAUCGUCUCCAUAAACUUCAUGCUCACCUACAGCUUCAUCGACUACUCCUACUUCAGUGUGGCCAUGACCUGCCAGCUUCAGAGUAAAGAGAAGAGGGAUACCAUAGCCCCCGCCAAAAGAUACCGGCGUGGGUCAACCAGGCAGAGCUCCAGGCCUCUGAUCAAGGAAUCUCUUCCGAGCUAUGGGGGUGGAGGGGAGAGUCCGCAGCGAAUGAAAGGCACUCUGCUGGAGUUUACCAAGGACAUGGACCAGAUAUUUCCCCCUGUGUCAAAUGUUGAUGCUGGGGCUGAGAAGACCUCCUCCAUGCAAGAGCUGAGCAGUAGAUGCAAAGGCAGAAAAACUCAAGUCACUCCUAAGCAGAUGCUGAUGGACAGCUUUGGCUUGGACCUAACCAGGAAUAUGUUCCCUGAGGAGAACGUACAGGAGAUGAGUUCUGCUCCACGUGAGGAGGCUGGAGAAGACCCACAGGAGUCAGCUGGUGACCCUCCCCAUCACAGCCCAGGUGAUCAGCUCAUAGAGUUCAGUGUUUGUCUUGUGUGUUUUAAGCAACCUGACCCUAUAUUUAAUCUUUCAGUUACCGGAGGUAAAGCGGAGCAGCUGAGCGUUGAAAUCAAACCCAUGCAGGAUUCGUUAUAUGCGAAAUUCUGCAACCACUGGGUCGCUCUAAUCGGGGCAUUGAGCUCCAUAUUGAUUAUGUUUGUUAUUCAAUGGGCUUAUGCCUUAGCAAACAUAGUCUUAGCCUUGCUGCUCUUCUUCUACAUCGGGAAAGUGAGUCCUGGACUACCUAUAGGUAUUGCAGCUCGAUUCAGCUUUUUCGUGUGGCUCAAGUCAUCGUUGAAAAGCAUUUGCAGGGGGAAAGUGUCCCCUCAGGAUGAGAUCGUAGUCACCCCCUCUCUGUCCGGGGUCGGGCUGAAAACCAAGCAGCUGACGGAGGAAAAUGCAGACUUUGCCUCUCGUCACCGAUACCACCAAUCGUCCUUCAUAAGAACCGAGACAAUGGUGCAACCACCAGCCCACUGACUGACUGACUUAACUCUGCCUCUGUUUCAUGUAGCUGUAAGCCUGAAACCACAUUUCCUGCCUCAAUCCGUGUGGGCCACAUGCAGCUUGACAUCACCUUUCAGACGUGGACUUUGGGUCGUUGCAAAUAAAUCUGAUGAAAAUCAAAGCAGUGGACAAGAAAGGUCCUGUAUUACAAGAUUCACGCUUUAAUCUCAAAACCAUGUGCAUUUUUGUGUGUUUUAAUGUAUCCCUGAAUAUAUUUAACAUCGAAGUGAACCACUUGAGGAACACGCCGAAUAAAUCUCAGCCAUCCUAUGAAAAAAUAAUAUUUACAUUUAGAGAUAUUCAAGGAAGAGGAAGAGUGUCUGAUCUGCUGUGUUAUACCUAGACUGUAUUUAUAAAGGUUAUACCAGAAGUUAAAUGCAUUUUGUAAAACAUGAUGAAUAUACAGUAUGUCAUAAUACAUAAGGUGGUGUUAUUUGGGUGAAUUUGUUUUGAACUGUUGCACUGUUAGCAGCUUGACAACAAAGCUGUGAAAACCACUUCCUCUCCGCAUUUUGGUAUCAGGUGCAACCUGCUGAGAGACACAUGGCUCUCUGUAAAGAGAAUACCUUUCCUCAUCAUUACCUGGUCUGCAGAGGACUAUAGUGGUGGUAAAGACUUCUUAAUGUCAUGAAGGAGACACCUCUGGAUGAGAGGGCCAAUGAGUUGGACCAUGUUUAUUAUAUGGAUUUUACCCCAGCAUACUGUAAUUGGUCAUGACUUUUCACUGAUCCAAGCCAGAACACCAUAUCCUAUAACAGUCAGGCUUUUAGAACAGCAUGGCUCCAGCUAAAAGAUGAACUUUAACAGCAUGAUUCAAAAACAGACAUUCGGGAUGAUUUUCAGUGGAAUGUGUUGGAGACAGAUUUAUUAUUUCCCAGCAGUAAUUGUAAUAGAGACGAUAGCAUUAUUGGUCUUAAAACUCUAAAGCAACAUGCUCUCAUGUCUGAAAACAAACAAACCGACAACACCUGAAGGCAGCAGAUGCAGCCAGAGUAAAACACCACAGUGGUUUGC